AUCUGUGGUCAUGCCACCCUGAAUUUCACACCAGAUUUUAUUUGAUCUCAGAUGCUGAGCAGGGUUAGUACCUGAAUGGGAGACACCUUGGGAUUAGUAGAUGCCGGAGGCG
rnacentral:rRNA from 1 species